rnacentral:rRNA from 1 species
UCAUAUCAAUAAGCGGAGGAAAAGAAACCAACUGGGAUUACCUUAGUAACGGCGAGUGAAGCGGUAAAAGCUCAAAUUUGAAAUCUGGUACUUUCAGUGCCCGAGUUGUAAUUUGUAGAAUUUGUCUUUGAUUAGGUCCUUGUCUAUGUUCCUUGGAACAGGACGUCAUAGAGGGUGAGAAUCCCGUUUGGCGAGGAUACCUUUUCUCUGUAAGACUUUUUCGAAGAGUCGAGUUGUUUGGGAAUGCAGCUCAAAGUGGGUGGUAAAUUCCAUCUAAAGCUAAAUAUUGGCGAGAGACCGAUAGCGAACAAGUACAGUGAUGGAAAGAUGAAAAGAACUUUGAAAAGAGAGUGAAAAAGUACGUGAAAUUGUUGAAAGGGAAGGGCAUUUGAUCAGACAUGGUGUUUUUUGCAUGCACUCGCCUCUCGUGGGCUUGGGCCUCUCAAAAAUUUCACUGGGCCAACAUCAAUUCUGGCAGCAGGAUAAAUCAUUAAGAAUGUAGCUACUUCGGUAGUGUUAUAGCUUUUUGGAAUACUGUUAGCCGGGAUUGAGGACUGCGCUUCGGCAAGGAUGUUGGCAUAAUGGUUAAAUGCCGCCCGUCUUGAAACACGGACC